AGUGAACGCUGGCGGUAGGCCUAAACAUGCAAGUCGAACGGCAGCACCGUAAGAGCUUGCUCUUACGGGUGGCGAGUGGCGGACGGGUGAGGAAUACAUCGGGAUCUACUUUUUCGUGGGGGAUAACGUAGGGAAACCUACGCUAAUUACGCAUAAGACCUACGGGUGAAAGCAGGGGAUCUUUGGAACUUGCGCGAUUGGAUGAGCCGAUGUCGGAUUAGCUAGUUGGCGGGGUAAAGGCCCACCAAGGCGACGAUCCGUAGCUGGUCUGAGAGGAUGAUCAGCCACACUGGAACUGAGACACGGUCCAGACUCCUACGGGAGGCAGCAGUGGGGAAUAUUGGACAAAGGGCGCAAGCCUGAUCCAGCCAUACCGCGUGGGUGAAGAAGGCCUUCGGGUUGUAAAGCCCUUUUGUUGGGAAAGAAAAGCAGCAGGUUAAUACCCCGCUGUUCUGACGGUACCCAAAGAAUAAGCACCGGCUAACUUCGUG
rnacentral:rRNA from 1 species